rnacentral:lncRNA from 1 species
ACAUAUCGACAAUGCAUGCAGUUAUUUUAUUAAUUAUUCACAAAGACCAUACAAGAUAAUACACUAGUCAGCCUCAAGACGCCAUCUAGUCAACACCUAUUGCUACUCCUAUCCCUUUAAUGAAGGUGUGCCGAAUAUACGAGCCUAAUACAAAACAAACAUCGCACCAAACCAUAACAUCUAUAGCCGGAUGCCCCAGCCCAACCACAUACCGAGACUGGGUCCCACACUGAUCCGAUGCACUAUCGUUGUCGCCGCCACCUUCCACCGGUCCAUCUCCAUAGCAGGAACUGAC